rnacentral:rRNA from 1 species
GGCGAACGGGUGAGUAACGCGUGGGUAACCUGCCCUAUGGAAAGGAAUAGCCUCGGGAAACUGGGAGUAAUGCCUUAUAAUAUAUGUUUGUCGCAUGGCAGAUAUAUUAAACGCUCCGGUGCCAUAGGAUGGACCCGCGUCCCAUUAGCUAGUUGGUGAGAUAACAGCCCACCAAGGCGACGAUGGGUAACCGGUCUGAGAGGGCGAACGGUCACACUGGAACUGAGACACGGUCCAGACUCCUACGGGAGGCAGCAGUGGGGAAUAUUGCGCAAUGGGGGAAACCCUGACGCAGCAAUACCGCGUGAGUGAAGAAGGUUUUCGGAUCGUAAAGCUCUGUUAUUGGGGAAGAAAAAAAGACGGUACCCAAGAAGAAAGUCCCGGCUAACUACGUGCCAGCAGCCGCGGUAAUACGUAGGGGACAAGCGUUGUCCGGAUUUACUGGGCGUAAAGGGCACGCAGGCGGUUUUUUAAGUCAGAUGUGAAAGGUACCGGCUCAACCGGUGACAUGCAUUUGAAACUGAAAGACUUGAGUAUUGGAGAGGCAAGUGGAAUUCCUAGUGUAGCGGUGAAAUGCGUAGAUAUUAGGAGGAACACCGGUGGCGAAGGCGGCUUGCUGGACAAAUACUGACGCUGAGGUGCGAAAGCGUGGG